AGGGGUAUAGCCAAAUGGUAAGGCAGCAGUUUUUGGUACUGUGUAUUGUAGGUUCGAAUCCUUCUACCCCUGCCA
rnacentral:tRNA from 1 species